UGUUCCUACGGGGGGCAGCAGUGAGGAAUAUUGGUCAAUGGGCGGAAGCCUGAACCAGCCAAGUCGCGUGAGGGAGUAAGGCCCUACGGGUCGUAAACCUCUUUUGCCGGGGAGCAAGGGCGGGGACGUGUCCCGGCCCGGAGAGUACCCGGAGAAAAAGCAUCGGCUAACUCCGUGCCAGCAGCCGCGGUAAUACGGAGGAUGCGAGCGUUAUCCGGAUUUAUUGGGUUUAAAGGGUGCGUAGGCGGGCCUUUAAGUCAGCGGUAAAAAUUCGGGGCUAAACCCCGGCCGGUCGU
rnacentral:rRNA from 1 species